CCUUGAACUCACCGUAUUUUGUUUACAUUCCUUACAUGUAGAUUUCAACGAUGCCGGUGAAAGACAUAUUUUAUGCCACUCUUUCUUUGUCUCAUUUUGUGAACCAACAUUUUUAUGCUAUGGGUGAACGCACACAAGUGUGAAGGGCUAUCGUGCAGGUUCUUACCCCAGCUAACCGCAAUCACGCAAUGGAAAAGUGUGGCGUUGCUCAGGAAGUCGUGAGGCGUGUAGGAAGUGAUCGUGGUGAGAAACAAGGCCAGGCUCAGGCCGUAGGGAGAAGAGGGUCCAGCAGUAAUUGACCAGGGAAGUCGGAAAG